rnacentral:lncRNA from 1 species
GGUGGCACAAGGCACGGCCGCCGGCACGUUGUUUGACGCGGUCAAUGUCGGUAUGGCAUCGGCGGCGGCUGUGGCUGCGCCGGCAAUGGCGCCAUACCACACGAUCGUUCGCCUUUCGGUCUUUUCCAGUGCAAUGACGACGUGCGAUCGGGUCCUGCUAGCGCAUUCGAGGCGCCGUCGUACCGCGCACAGGUUGGCGUUGAUGCGGCCCCAAACCUCACUGGGCGUCACCGCCGUGACGGUGAUGCCCGCGCGGUAUGGCACGCCCGACCAGUGGCAAGCCAAGAGGACGUCGCCGGCGGUCUCUUUGAGCAAGCACGUUAGUGCGACCAUAUCCGUGGGCGAGAGCCACGGAUGGUGACGCGCAAUGGCCUCGGGCGUAGCGCCUACAAUCUGCGCGCCGCGAGACACCGAGGUUUGCACCAGUUCGCGCGCGAUCGCAAUGUGGCCUUGGUCUGUGCGCCCGAGUCCGAGAAAGAGAUGGCGCUGCCCGCUGCCGUUUUCGUAGACACGCCGCGCCUCAGAGACCAGCGCGCCAACGUCAUCUCCGAGAAUGCCAAUACAGUAGGAUCCGUCCGGCGCGGGACGCGCGUCGCCGGCGUCCCACUCGUGCGGCAGUCCGUAUGGGGUCACGUCGCAUGCGUCGAGAGCCUCUUCAAAGGCAAACAAGGCCAAGGCAUCGAGCGGCCCGAUACUGGAAAAGCGAGACGCUAGAGCCUUGCGCGAAUAGCGCCUAGGCUGGCGCAACGUGGCAUCGCCGUCACCAUUGUCAUUGGCGCUAUUCUCGUGUGACGGGUCCAGCAAAGGGGAGAUUGGGCCAGCGUAGGUGCUCAUCUUUUCUUGGUCGGUCGAUGGCGACCGAGCGGACGGUGGCAGUGGUGUCGAUGACGCUCGGCGGCAGUUGUGGUAGUGAACGGAGCACGGUGUGGAAAGAGGCACGGGCUGCGCGAUUGCACGACAAGCGAACGCUCUGCGCUUUUGGUAAAGAAAAAGGCAGCCGGACGGUUUUUUGACGCUUUAUUUAUUUGCGUGUCCAAUAGAAGCAUGCUCAUUUUUUCGUCCUCUCUUUGGUCGGUUGACCGGCGCCAGCAUGCAAUUGGUUUUUUCUCGUCGCUUUUUUGCGAGGCCUUUUGGAGAAAAAAAAGAGGCG